rnacentral:lncRNA from 11 species
GCUUACCCUGCUGCAUUUCUGGUUUGCCAGUCUUUUAUUAUGAAGUUCCGAAUUAUAUACUGAUUUUUUGACUGCAAUCUUCAUUCUGAUUAAUGACUGAGAAGCCAAAAGGAAUUGCAUGCUCCCAGCAGGAGAAGUACAUUGCACAUCACCAAACUGCUUUUCACAUUACUGUGCUGUGGCAACUGGAAGGAGUGGGACUCAGUGACACACUGGACUAGGUGUCACCAGCUCGAUACCCUGAAUCUGGCUUACAGGGAAACAGCUGGACUCCCUCUCCAAAUCUUUGUCCCUGUGCUCCCCCAUUGAGAAGGUAUUUCUUUGUGCUAUAGUUCCAGGCUGGAAAAUCUGCUGGAAGAAUGUCUCUAUGCAAGCAUUGAACCCUACUAUACUCAUCAAGGGAUGGAAAAUGCAAAGGAAGCGGUAAUUGCCAUAUUUUUUCAGUCUUAUGGCU